rnacentral:rRNA from 1 species
UUAAAUUGAAGAGUUUGAUCAUGGCUCAGAUUGAACGCUGGCGGCAGGCCUAACACAUGCAAGUCGAACGGUAACAGGAAGCAGCUUGCUGCUUCGCUGACGAGUGGCGGACGGGGGAGUAAUGUCUGGGAAACUGCCUGAUGGAGGGGGAUAACUACUGGAAACGGUAGCUAAUACCGCAUAACGUCGCAAGACCAAAGAGGGGGACCUUCGGGCCUCUUGCCAUCGGAUGUGCCCAGAUGGGAUUAGCUUGUUGGUGGGGUAACGGCUCACCAAGGCGACGAUCCCUAGCUGGUCUGAGAGGAUGACCAGCCACACUGGAACUGAGACACGGUCCAGACUCCUACGGGAGGCAGCAGUGGGGAAUAUUGCACAAUGGGCGCAAGCCUGAUGCAGCCAUGCCGCGUGUAUGAAGAAGGCCUUCGGGUUGUAAAGUACUUUCAGCGGGGAGGAAGGGAGUAAAGUUAAUACCUUUGCUCAUUGACGUUACCCGCAGAAGAAGCACCGGCUAACUCCGUGCCAGCAGCCGCGGUAAUACGGAGGGUGCAAGCGUUAAUCGGAAUUACUGGGCGUAAAGCGCACGCAGGCGGUUUGUUAAGUCAGAUGUGAAAUCCCCGGGCUCAACCUGGGAACUGCAUCUGAUACUGGCAAGCUUGAGUCUCGUAGAGGGGGGUAGAAUUCCAGGUGUAGCGGUGAAAUGCGUAGAGAUCUGGAGGAAUACCGGUGGCGAAGGCGGCCCCCUGGACGAAGACUGACGCUCAGGUGCGAAAGCGUGGGGAGCAAACAGGAUUAGAUACCCUGGUAGUCCACGCCGUAAACGAUGUCGACUUGGAGGUUGUGCCCUUGAGGCGUGGCUUCCGGAGCUAACGCGUUAAGUCGACCGCCUGGGGAGUACGGCCGCAAGGUUAAAACUCAAAUGAAUUGACGGGGGCCCGCACAAGCGGUGGAGCAUGUGGUUUAAUUCGAUGCAACGCGAAGAACCUUACCUGGUCUUGACAUCCACGGAAGUUUUCAGAGAUGAGAAUGUGCCUUCGGGAACCGUGAGACAGGUGCUGCAUGGCUGUCGUCAGCUCGUGUUGUGAAAUGUUG